rnacentral:rRNA from 1 species
UACGGAGGGGACUAGCGUUGUUCGGAAUUACUGGGCGUAAAGCGCACGUAGGUGGAUUUGUAAGUCAGGGGUGAAAUCCCGGGGCUCAACCUCGGAACUGCCUUUGAUACUGCAAAUCUCGAGUCCGGAAGAGGUGAGUGGAAUUCCUAGUGUAGAGGUGAAAUUCGUAGAUAUUAGGAAGAACACCAGUGGCGAAGGCGGCUCACUGGUCCGGUACUGACGCUGAGGUGCGAAAGCGUGGGAGCAACAGGG